AGUGAACGCUGGCGGUAGGCCUAACACAUGCGAGUCGAACGGCAGCACAGUAAGAGCUUGCUCUUACGGGUGGCGAGUGGCGGACGGGUGAGGAAUACAUCGGAAUCUACUUUUUCGUGGGGGAUAACGUAGGGAAACUUACGCUAAUACCGCAUACGACCUACGGGUGAAAGCAGGGGAUCUUCGGACCUUGCGCGAUUGAAUGAGCCGAUGUCGGAUUAGCUAGUUGGCGGGGUAAAGGCCCACCAAGGCGACGAUCCGUAGCUGGUCUGAGAGGAUGAUCGGCCACACUGGAACUGAGACACGGUCCAGACUCCUACGGGAGGCAGCAGUGGGGAAUAUUGGACAAUGGGCGCAAGCCUGAUCCAGCCAUACCGCGUGGGUGAAGAAGGCCUUCGGGUUGUAAAGCCCUGUUGUUGGGAAAGAAAAGCAGCAGGUUAAUACCCCGCUGUUCUGACGGUACCCAAAGAAUAAGCACCGGCUAACUUCGUG
rnacentral:rRNA from 1 species